rnacentral:snRNA from 1 species
GUACUCUCGUUUCUCUUGAGAUCAUAUAAAUCUUUUGCCUUUUACUAAACAUUUUUGUGGAGAGGAACAACUCUGAGUUUUAAAUCAAUA